GGAGGGGUGGCAGAGCGGACGAAUGCGACGGUCUUGAAAACCGUUGAGGGGCGACCCUCCGGGGGUUCGAAUCCCCCCCCCUCCG
rnacentral:tRNA from 1 species